CCUACGGGCGGCAGCAGUGGGGAAUAUUGGGCAAUGGGCGCAAGCCUGACCCAGCAACGCCGCGUGAAGGAAGAAGGCUUUCGGGUUGUAAACCUCUUUUGUUAGGGACGAAGCAAGCGAAGGUACCUGACGAAUAAGCGUCGGCUAUCUAUGGGCCAGCAGCCGCGGUAAUACGGCGGCGGCAAGCGUCAUCCGGAUUUACUGGGUGUAAAGGGCGUGUAGGCGGGAAUGGAAGUCAGAUGUGAAAUUUAGGGGCCCAACCUGAAAACUGGAUUUGAAACUGUGGUUCUUGAGUACAGGGGAGGCAGGCGGAAUGCGUGGUGUAGCGGUGAAAUGCGUAGAUAUUAGGAAGAACACCGGUGGCGAAGGCGGUCUACUAGACAACAACUGACGCUGAGGCACGAAAGCGUGGGGAGCAAACAGGAUUAGAUACCCGAGUAGUC
rnacentral:rRNA from 1 species